AUUGAACGCUGGCGGCAGGCCUAACACAUGCAAGUCGAGCGAGCGGCGGACGGGUGAGUAAUAUCUGGGGAACUGCCCGAUAGAGGGGGAUAACUACUGGAAACGGUGGCUAAUACCGCAUACUAUCGGAUGUACCCAUAUGGGAUUAGCUAGUAGGUGGGGUAAAGGCUCACCUAGGAGACGAUCCCUAGCUGGUCUGAGAGGAUGACCAGCCACCCUGGAACUGAGACACUGCCCAGACUCCUACGGGAGGCAGCAGUGGGGAAUAUUGCACAAUGGGCGCAAGCCUGAUGCAGCCAUGCCGCGUGUAUGAAGAAGGCCUUAGGGUUGUAAAGUACUUUCAGCGGGGAGGCGUUACCCGCAGAAGAAGCACCGGCUAACUCCGUGCCAGCAGCCGCGGUAAUAC
rnacentral:rRNA from 1 species